AAAUGCGCCCUGGAGCUUAAAAGAUGGACCUAAUUGAAAAAAUUGUAUUGAGGUUGUAGCAGGGGAUAAAAGGGAAAGCUGGGCCGAGAUUAACCUGGAGCUCGGUGAGCCGGGAAGCGUGGCAGCCGUGGCCAGGUCCCUAAGCCAAUUCCCGGCCGUGGCCUCCCUGUUCAAUCCAUGCUGACGGGGAGGUGGUUUGUCCUGGAUGCAGGAGAGCCCGGCACGCUCUGGUUUUGUGCAUCAGCUCCAGCAGAGAGGACCAGCGGCGGAGCUGGAGAGCUGGAUCCCACUGAGAGGAUGAAAACAUGGGGCACAAGUUAUCCUGCCUGAAAGGCUUGAAGACAUGUGUGAGCAGCGGGAACGGCAGCGACCGGCCCCCGACAGCGUCCUCGGGGGAGAAGAACCUGCACGUGCCCUCCAUCAUCGUCACGCCGCCCACACCCACGGGGA